rnacentral:lncRNA from 1 species
UUUUAACUGAUUUCAUUGUAUAUAAGACCCAUAACAGAAAAUAAGUUCAAUUAUGGAUUUUUUGUAAUUUCUUGGAUGAUAUAAAUUAUAGUUAUAGGGAAAUUUUCUUUUCUGCAAAAUCACAUGUAAAGGUAAAGAUUCUCGUCGGUGGUCUUAAAUCUGUUUUUAGGAUGAAAGAUUGAGGGGAAGAAUUAAAGCCUUUCAUGUUUGGAAGAAUAUUGGCUGAAAAAGGAUGAUAGUAAAGGUCGUAAGAUUCAAUAUCUUGAAAAAGAGAAGCAAAACCACUGUAAACAAAAUUUACCAACUAUAAGAAAAUCAUCAUUACCACAGGGGUCAUAUAUAACUCGAUAGGUUGAGUCGCGAGUUGUUGAAAACUUCCUAGUACUUAUGUUCAAUUCCUAUGAAUAAAAGAAUCAUCUUUAACUCUUAAUAAGAGAAAAUUCCACUUGAAAUUUUAUAAAUUAUUUGAAUCAUAUACUGCCAUUGAGUGGUAUAUAUUUCUAGUUUGUAUUCUUUGUCUUUGUUUCAGAUAAAUUCUGUCAAUUAUAGGUUUGGAUCUGUUUGAUACAUUUGGUCCAGACAGAGAGAGUGAUUUAAGAAGCUUUGAGCAAGUCUUUACAUAUCAUAUUAUAAUUUUGUUACAUUUUCAUAUUUUUAAAAAUCAGUUUAAUUUACUGUUCGUUGGUUUAAUUUUUGACUAGUAGAGUAUACCAGCUUCUGCAUGUCUUGGAGUUCAGCAGUUCCCGCAAAAGAAUGUCAGUGAUAGUGAGGAAUGAGGAAAAUCAAAUAUUGCUUCUAUGCAAGGGUGCAGACAGGUUUCAAUUUUUGUCCCAUGUUUUUUGAAUAAUGGAGUUGUUAGUAGUAAGUUGCGUGUACUGAUGUCAAGUUGUGUACUUCCCUGCAUGUAUUCAGUGUAAUGUUUGAAAGGCUCUCACAACAUGGAAGACAAUUUGAGGUUGAAACGAGGGAUCAUAUCAAAAGGUAUGCCGAGGCUGGUUUAAGAACCCUUGUAGUCACAUACCGUGAACUUGAUGAAGAAGAAUAUAAGUUAUGGGAUAAGGAGUUUUCAAAGGUCAAAACUUCUGUAACAGAAGACCGAGAUGCACUUGUGGAUGCCGCUGCUGAUAGGAUGGAAAGAGAUUUGAUGCUUCUUGGUGCUACUGCAGUUGAGGAUAGACUGCAAAAGGGGGUAAGUACAAACUUUUUAAUCUUACUAAUUCUAGUUAUGCAAGUCUUUGCAUUUAUGAUUUUUAGAAUUUGAAUAAAGGGUCGAAUUCUAUCUCACAAAAUCAAAUUGUAAAGUGAGAGUUGUCUAAGUUUUAUUUAAGCUAUAUUUCUAGUUGAUGUGAAAUUAAAGUGGACUAGGGAUGGCUCGAAUGAAGGCAACUUUCUAAAAUUUAUAUACCCAGUGAGAAUAAAAUAGAAGUUUCUGACAAAAAAUGAAUUUCAGCUUCAUUUAAUAGAGCUUAUUUGACAUGGAAAUACAGGUUCCCGAGUGUAUUGAAAAGCUUGCACGGGCAAAAAUCAAGUUAUGGGUAUUGACUGGAGACAAGAUGGAAACUGCUGUCAACAUAGGGUACAUUAGCAAGGCUUGUUCUAGAUUCUUUUUAUGAGGAGGCUGUGUAAAAUUUAAUUUAUUUUCCACUGUUUUCUUUGUACAGGUACGCUUGCAGUUUACUUAGAAAAGACAUGAAACAGAUAGUGAUCACUCUUGAUUCCUCAGAUAUCCUAUACUUGGAAAAACAAGGGGACAAGCAGGCUCUAGCAAAGGUACACGGCCUUAGAAUUUAUUUGGAAUUUAAUUUUCUGUCACUAUUGUAGAUCUUUGAUACGAAAAUUUCUUAGGCUUCUCUUGAAAGCAUUAAGAAGCAAAUUGGAGAAGGAAUCUCACAAAUUAACUCCGCAAAAGAGAGUUCUAAUGCAAAUAAAGGAAGUUCUUCUGGGUUUGGCUUGAUAAUCGAUGGGAAGUCCUUGGAUUAUUCUCUUAACAAGAAUUUGGAAAGGUCCUUCUUUGAGCUUGCCAUUAAUUGUGCUUCUGUCAUAUGUUGCCGAUCUUCACCCAAACAGAAGGCUCGUGUGAGUACUAUGUGUGUUCAGUUUGAAUUUCUGUCAUAUAAAUAAUAUACAUUCCUUGAGUAGUUGUGUAUAAUCAUACAUUGGGUUGUUAAAAUAUUAUAAUCAUGUCAGCCAAAAAAAUAUGCAGGUUACAAGGUUGGUAAAAUUGGGAACGGGAAAGACAACAUUAUCUAUUGGUGAUGGGGCAAAUGAUGUUGGCAUGCUUCAGGAGGCUGAUAUUGGAGUUGGUAUCAGUGGUGCUGAAGGGAUGCAGGUCUGAAGAUAUUGUUAUUAGCCUAUUCCAGUUAUUUCUAUAUUCAAAUUUAUGGCAAACGAUCUUAUAUGAGAUAAUAACUUCUUGAUGAUGUGCUAAAUAAGAGUUUUUUAAUCUUAACAUGUCUUUAUGUUCUUAACUCUUUUGUGCUGCUUAGCAUGUGGUCUUAUUAUGUCAUUGCAUUUGAAUUAUUUCAAAUUAUGGAGAAAUUCACUUGAGCAUAAUCAACCAAGCUGUCAGACCAACAUGCAUGCAACAUAAGUUAUCUGUAAUAGAGUUUUUAGAAAUGACUAUUUUUACGAAACUGUGUUCAUGUGCAAAACCCAAUGAAAUGUUUUAUGACAAUCAAACGCCACGUAGGUAGUAGGUAGUGCCUAAACUCAGAAAAUUCAGCAUUGUGAUGAAGUUAGUUUUAAUUUUCUGAAUGUACAUGCCAUUUGUUUUGUAUGAUAAGCUAAUGAUGAAUUGAGUUUAAAUGACAGGGUCCCAAUUUUUGAUAUUUGUGAAUAAAUGUUGUCUGCAGGCUGUAAUGGCAAGUGAUUUUGCAAUUGCUCAAUUCCGGUUUCUAGAGCGUCUUUUGUUGGUACAUGGUCAUUGGUGUUAUCGGCGUAUAUCAAUGAUGGUAAAACCAUCCAUCCAUCUAUUUCUCAAUCUUAAAGAUUUAGUGUUCACCUACUCAAUGCUUUCACAAUUCAACUUUAGUUUCCUCAAUGUUCUGAGGUUACAGAAAAGAGAGAAUAACAACAUUCAAGAAGUAAUCUAAAAGAUAGAAAAAAAACUUUAUUUGAUUAUUUGAAAACUAGUUUUACAAGAAGUUCUAGUUGCUUCUUAUAUAGAAGUCUGUUAACUUAAGAAAGAGACAGCUGUCCACAAAAAAAAAUUGCUGCUGAUAAGUUGUUGAAUUUUUUUAUGCAGAUAUGCUAUUUUUUCUAUAAAAACAUUGCAUUUGGAUUUACCCUUUUUUGGUUUGAGGCGUAUGCUUCUUUCUCUGGUCAAGCUGCUUACAAUGAUUGGUACAUGUCAUUUUACAAUGUCUUCUUCACUUCACUUCCAGUGAUCGCUCUAGGUGUUUUUGAUCAAGAUGUUUCUGCCAAACUUUGCCUAAAGGUACUAUAUAUAUUGCUUUUUUUAAAUUUGCUUUUAAAGGAUAUUUAAGAACCAGCAGAUAGCCAUAUAUGAUUCUUCUUCUUAGAAGACAAGAACUCUGCAUUUUUUUCUCUAGGGUGUUUAUAUUACCAGUUUAUCUUGGUCCUUUUUUGAUUAAUUAUGCUACUAUUUCACUAAACUAGCUUGUAUGUCAAUAGCUUUUUUAUUUUGUGAAAAAAAAUAACUAUUUACACUCAAUGUCAAUUGGUUUUAAGAUGAAAUCUAACUUCUCAAUAGAGCCUAUAUAGUAUCUCUGUGUACUACCUAGGCAUUCCUGGAAUGAAAACUUCACUUGCUACAAGUUGAUUUUAAGCAUUAUGGUGGCACUAUAGUAGUUGUAUAGAAACAUUGAUUUUAGGAUUAAAUCUAGCUAACACAUUAGACUGUAAAAUUCUAAUGCUAUUGUAUGGUUGACAUGUCUACUGAUUUCUCUUGUGGUUCUUGAUUUUAAAUAAUGAUGAGUUGAAAGCCAAGAUUCUGUGCUAACCAAUAAUCAUAUGGUCUGUUUUACAGUAUCCCUUUUUAUAUCUAGAGGGAGUAGAAGACACCCUAUUCAGCUGGCCCCGAAUUCUAGGGUGGAUGUUGAAUGGAGUCCUUAGUUCUUUAGUGAUAUUCUUCUUAACCACUAAUUCUGUGUUGAAUCAAGCCUUCAGAAGAGAUGGUAAGGUGGUUGAUUUUGAAAUACUUGGGGUCACAAUGUAUACAUGUGUGGUGUGGACUGUGAAUUGCCAAAUGGCAUUAUCCAUCAAUUACUUUACUUGGAUACAACAUUUUUUUAUAUGGGGCAGCAUAGCCUUCUGGUAUGUAUUUGUGUUGGUCUAUGGUUACUUAUCUCCAGGAAUAUCGACAACAUCUUACAAGGUUUUUGUGGAAGCAUGUGCUCCCAGUGGUCUCUAUUGGCUAGUAACCCUUUUGGUUGUUGUGUGUGUGCUGCUACCUUAUUUCUCCUAUAGGUCUUUCCAAAGUCGGUUUCUUCCAAUGUACCAUGAUAUUAUACAGAGAAAACAAGUAGAAGGGAUUGAAAUUGGCUUAUCUGAUGAUGAUUUACCUAAACAGGUCCAAGGAAAACUAAUACACCUCAGAGAGAGAUUGAAGCAAAGGGAGCUGUGAAAUGUAAAUGCUUCUAAACAUACAUUCUUAGACCCUUGAAAUUGUAUUUGAUUUCUUGCUGAGCUGGGAAGGAGAAUUGAAGUAGUGAGAAUUGUCAUUAGAUUUUAAUUUUUAUAUUUUUCCUUUUCUUUAUUGGGUUUCCAUUUGUUUAUAAAGUUAGAAGAGGAGAAUUUGUGUAGUAGUCACUUGAUGUAGAUUAGCUAUGUAAAAGCUUGAGUAUUUGUUGUACCGAAAACGGUCCAUGUAUUUGUUAAUGGAAGAAGCAAUAGAUGUUUUACAAUAUAUUUUAUACGUAAAUGCUCUUUAUUAUCUGAGGGAAGUUCCAAAAACAACUAGAAACAUGACUUCAAGUGGACUUAAAGUUCAUGAUACUUAAAAGAGAUAUUUGUUUUAUGUUUUCAUUGUAAAUAUCAUGAAAACCAUUAAUACCACUUAUUUAAAUUAACAAUCUUAGAGGGAGUAAGAUGACAUUCAAUUAGCAACUCAAUCUUGAUCUACUAAACAAGUAGAUUAAAAUAAUUCUUGGAAAUUGUUUUUGUAAGAUGGUGACUUCAACUCUCCAACUCUCAAUGUCUUUACAAUUUAAAGAUAUAUAUGAAAGGACGUAUACAGUUAUUCACUAAUACCGUAUCAUGAACAUUGUAUAUCAUAUCCUUAUCAUUUGGUUAAAGAUAGCACAUAAAAUGUUUUAGUUUUUUUUUUCCUUUUAUUUUUCACUGCUGAAUUGUCAUUCUCAGACAUCCAUUCAUGGAUUACAGCUGUGAACAUUUUUAUGAUCAGAAAGGCUCAACAAUUAUUCCUUCACUGGGUCCCACAACCCGCUUUCCAUUUCAGGAUUUCAUACUUUCAUUCAUCACAGCCGUUGAAUGAAUAUCUAACUGCUCACAACUUAUAUUCCUUAGUCAGCUAAUUACUGAUUUCAUCGGUACAGCUUCUCUUCACUGAAUUACAGUUCGUAAACUUCGAUUUCAAAUUACACACUUGCAUUCACCAUUUUCCAACUCCUACAAUGGCAGCAGAACUUGUUGGUGGUGCUCUUCUUUCCGCUUUUCUUCAGGUUGCAUUCGACAGGCUGGCUUCUCCUCAAUUCGUUGACUUCUUUCGUCGAAGAAAACUUGAUGAUAAGCUUCUCGGAAACUUGAACAUCAUGCUGCACUCCAUCAAUGCUCUCGCUCAUGAUGCAGAACAGAAGCAGUUCACAGAUCCACACGUUAAAGCAUGGCUUUUUUCUGUNNNNNNNNNNNNNNNNNNNNNNNNNNNNNNNNNNNNNNNNNNNNNNNNNNNNNNNNNNNNNNNNNCAAGUGGAAGCUCAAUCCGAACCUCAAACCUUUACUUACAAGGUAUCAAAUUUCUUCAACUCUACUUUCAAUUCCUUUAACAAGAAAAUUGAAUCAGAAAUGAAAGAAGUCCUAGAAAAACUAGAAUAUCUUGCAAAGCAAAAGGGUGCUCUUGGUUUGAAAGAGGAUACUUAUUCUGGUGAUAGAUCAGGUAUUAAAGUGUCACAGAAAUUGCCAUCAUCUUCUUUGGUGGUUGAAAGUAUUAUUUAUGGCAGAGAUGCUGACAAAGAAAUUAUCUUUAAUUGGCUCACAUCUGAGACCCACAAUCAAAACCUAUCCAUACUUUCCAUAGUGGGCAUGGGUGGAUUGGGUAAGACCACACUCGCCCAGCAUGUAUACAAUGACCAAAGAAUGGAGACUAAAUUUGAUAUAAGAGCUUGGGUGUGUGUUUCCGAUCAUUUUGAUGUUUUUACAGUGACAAAAACAAUUCUUGAGGCAAUUACUAAAUCUAAAGAUGAUAGCGGAGACCUAGAAAUGGUUCAUGGAAGAUUGAAAGGAAAAGUAUCUGGAAAGAAAUUUCUUCUUGUUUUGGAUGAUGUUUGGAACGAAAAGCUAGAAGAAUGGGAAGCUGUGCGAACUCCUCUUAGCUAUGGGGCUCCAGGAAGUAGAAUUCUUGUCACAACACGUAUUGAGAAAGUAGCUUCUAACAUGAGAUCUGAAGUGCAUCACCUAAAGCAAUUAGAAGAGAAUGAAUGCUGGAAAGUUUUUAACAAACAAGCUUUGAAAGAUGAUGAUCUUGAAUUAAAUGAUGAGAAAAAGGAGAUUGGUAGAAGGAUAGUUGAGAAGUGUAAAGGAUUACCUCUUGCUUUGAAAACAAUUGGAAGUCUUCUCCGCACAAAGUCAUCCAUUUUAGAUUGGAAGAGCGUAUUGGAAAGCCACAUAUGGGACUUAUCGAAAGAAGUUGAAAUUAUGCCUGCUUUGUUAUUGAGUUAUCAGCACCUUCCUUCUCACCUCAAGAGAUGCUUUGCUUACUGUGCGUUAUUUCCAAAAGAUCAUGAGUUUCUGAAGGAGGAAUUAAUUUUGUUUUGGAUGGGUGAAGGUUUUCUCUACCAUUCUCAACAGAACAAGAAUUUACUAGAAAUUGGUGAACAAUAUUUCGAUGAUUUAUUAACGAGGUCUUUCUUUUUUCCAUCAAACUUCGAAUUGCACUUCGUCAUGCAUGACCUUCUGAAUGAUUUGGCAAAAUAUGUUUGUGCAGACUUCUGUUUCAGGUUGAAAUUUGAUAAAGGAAAUUGUAUACCCAAAAUAACCCGUCAUUUUUCAUUUGCAUACGAUGAUAUAAGAUAUUUUGAUAGUUUUGGGAGUUUAACUGAUGCUAAAAGACUGCGUUCAUUUGUUCAGAUUACAAAUGACUGUCUAUUUCCAGGUCUUCCUGGUCCAUUCGAGAUUUUGAUUAGUGAAGUGUUCUCCAAGUUGAAGUUUUUACAUGUCUUAUCUUUGAAAGGGUAUUAUGGACUCAAAGAGGUCCCAGAUUCUGUAGGUAAUCUUAAACAUCUCCAUUUAUUGGACCUUUCUAGUACUAGGAUACAAAAACUACCUGACUCAGUAGGUUUGCUCUAUAACUUGCUAAUAUUGAGGUUGAAUGGUUGUUCAAAUUUGAAGGAAUUGCCUUCAAGUUUGCAUAAACUCACCAAAUUGCGUUGCCUAGAAUUUGAACGUACAGGGGUGACAAAGAUGCCAAUGCAUUUUGCAGAAUUGAAGAAUCUUCAUGUACUGAAUAUGUUUUGUGUCGGUAGAAACAGUGAGUUCAGUACUAAGCAGCUAGGAGGAAUCAACCUUCAUGGAAGGCUAUCAAUUAAUGAGCUGCAAAAUAUUGUGAAUCCUUCGGAUGCAUUAGAAGCAAAUUUGAAAAAUAAACACGUUGUGGAGCUAAAUUUAAUAUGGAAUUCGAAUCACAUCCCUAAUGAUCCAAGGAAAGAGAAGAAAGUGCUUGAGAAUCUACAACCUUCUAAUCAGUUGGAGCGUUUUUCAAUCAGGAGCUAUUGUGGUACACAAUUCCCAAGUUGGGUAUUUGAUAAUUCGUUAUCAAAUUUGGUAUCCUUAGAGUUAAAGGAUUGUAAAUAUUGCCUAUGUUUGCCUCCCCUUGGACUAUUGUCAUCUCUGAAGACCCUCGAGAUUACAGGACUUGAUGGAAUAGUGAGCAUUGGUGCUGAAUUUUAUGGGAGCAACUCUUCUUCAUUCAAGUGCUUGGAAAGAUUGCUAUUCUUCAAGAUGAAGGAAUGGGAAGAAUGGGAAUGUAAAACUACUUCUUUUCCACGUCUUGAACAACUUGUUAUCCAUGAUUGUCCCAAGUUGGAAGGUUUGUCAGAGCAACUUCUUCAUUUAAAGGACCUAUCUAUUGAGACAUGUGAUAGCCUCAUCAUCAGGGAACACAACGUAGACACAUCAACACUUGAAUGUUUGAAAACUUACUCAUGCCCACUUGUGAAUAUUCCCAUGACCCAUUAUGAUUUCCUUCAAGAUAUGACAAUUGUUGGUGGUUGUGACUCUCUUACAAUCUUUCAGCUAGAUUUAUUUCCAAUGCUCGGUUCACUUCAUCUGGGACGAUGCCAAAACCUACAAAGAAUUUCACAAGUGCAUGCUCAUAAUAAUCUCAAGGAAAUGUCAAUCUAUGAAUGUCCUCGAUUUGAAUCAUUUCCCAAUGAAGGAUUAUCUGCACCAUUGGUACAAAUAAUUGACAUUAGGCAAGUGGAGAAUUUAAUGUUGUUGCCAAAACGCAUGCAAAUCCUGCUUUCAUCUCUUACUGAACUGAAGAUAAUUGAUUGUCCAAAAGUGGAGAAGUUUCCAGACGAAGGUUUGCCAUCAAAGGUAAAAGACAUGUCUCUUUCAAGUUUAAAACUUAUCGCCUCUCUGCGAGAGAACUUGGAUGUCAACACAUGUCUUGAAAGCUUAUCUAUUGAAUCUCUUGAUGUGGAGUCUUUUCCUGACAAUGUUUUGCUGCCACCUUCUCUUACCUCUUUAAGAAUCAUUCAUUGCCAAAAUCUCAAAAAGCUAGACUACAAGCUUCUCUAUCACCUCUCCUCUCUCGAACUUGGUGAUUGUCCUAACCUCCAAUGCUUACCUGAGGAGGGUUUGCCCAAAUCCAUCUCUUAUCUUGACAUUUGGCGCUGUCCAUUGCUCGAGCAGCGUUGUCAGAAGCCAGAAGGCAAAGAUUGGAUAAAGAUUGCUCACAUUGAAAAUCUAAGUGUUGGGUAAUAAGAUGGAAAAAAAAGUUCAAAAUUAGAUGUUCAUCUGCUAACAGCUUCCUCUCACACCUAAUUGCAUGGCUUCGACAAACUCUUUCUUGUUUUUAGUUGUUUUUUCUAUUAAAGUGGAAUCAGAUCUCUUAUUUUGGAAUUUUAUUUAUUUGUUUGAAUAAUGAAAAAAAAUAAAAGAUGGAUUUUUUAUAUAUUACAAAUCAUUAUUCGUGGAAUGAUAAGAUGAAAGACCGGUUGGUUUGAAGAAAUUGCAUAGUUGGUCUUUUAUUUAUAAAUUCAUAUAUAGAAAAUAUUUAUUUAGAGUCAAGAAUUUUUUUUUCAUUUUACUAAAUUCGUAAACUUAAACUUAUUUAUAUCUUUUACUUUUAAAUUUUUAUUCAUUCUUGUUUUUUUAUCUUCUAACUCCUUUUCACGUUGCAAGUGAUUAUACACAUUAAGGAUCAUUAGUUGUUUCUUUAAAAUAUAAAUUGGUUUUAAAAAAACUUCUAUAAGAAUAAGACACAAAAGAUUAAAGAAUUUUAUAUGAUUAACUCGUGAAGUAUAACGACAUAAUUAACUCAUAUUGGACUUGGUCACUCUACAGAACUUUUGGAAUGAUUUGUAUACAUUACAUGAAUCAUAUAAGAAGCUUUUAGCCUACAUGUACUUCAAUAUUUUUUCUCAAUCAUCAUGUCCUUUUAUUACAACUUUUUCUUAAUUUAUGGUAUAGUGUAAAAAUAAUAUCAAUAUUUAUUUAAAAAUAAAAUUUUAUUUCAUUCUUUAAUAAAUAAUUUAGUGACCUUUGUUUAAUGUUGUAAACGUUAAUAUUACUAACAUUUUUACAAUAAAGUAACAUUUCAAUUAUGUUACUUUUAUAAAAUAAACAUUACUAAAGACUUCUAAUGUUGUUUUUAUUAAAAAAAUUUACUAAAUUAUAAGAGCCAUAAAAGAAAAGGUUCAAUUAUGGAUUUUCUGCAAUUUCUUUGCAUGAUAAAAAUUAUAAGAAGUUUUCCUUUCUGCAAAAUCACAUGUAAAGGUAAAGAUUCUCAGAAUGUGUAUGUGCUUUUGUUUUUAGGAUGAAAGAUUGAGGGGAAGAAUUAAAGCCUUUUAUGUUUGGAAGAAUAUUGACCGAAAAAGGAUAAUAGUUAAGGUAAACAAAAUAUACCAACUAUGUAAGAGAAUCAUGUUUACCACAGGGGUCAUCCAACUCAAUUAGUUGAGUAGUAUAUUCAAUUCCUCUGAAUAAAAGAAUCAUGUUUAACUCUUAAUAAGAGAAAAUUCUACAUUAAAAACUGAAACUAGUAUGAUGCAAGGCUGAAAACUGAAUGCACAUGAUCUUGUUUUGGCUUUUUCAAUUCAGAAUGAAGAAGAUGAAUUNAAUGCAUUCUAAUGAAAAUGAAAUUGGGCAGAAACAGGUUGAAUGUCUGUGGAUUCAGCAGGUUCUGAGUAAGCCUUCAAUUAGCAGCAACAAUGAUUGCUCAAACUACUCAACUCCAAUUCUAUGCACCACUGUUGUUGUUGUCAAUCUCUUUAUUCAACUCCAAAUAUUCUUCUCAGUUGCAUCUCUUUUUUUUUUUUUUUUUCUUUCUUUCUUUCUGAGAAUCCUAAAAUCAAACAAUAUAAAAUUCUAACAAAGAAUGCCAAAUUAACAAAGAUUUAGAAAAACUACUAUUCAUUGAAGGAAAACCAAAUAUUAAUCUAGAGCAAAUAUGAACAAAUAUGAAGGAAAACCUGGUUUAUAUUGGAUGGAACCCGACACAGAACUGUGUAAAUAUUGGAAAUCCAAGUAUGAGUCUAAGUUCCACAUUGGAUAGAAAAGAGAAAGUAUAACACUAUAUACUCAUUAAUCCAUUGUCUUAAGGUUUUGGAUAAAGAAUGAUGUUAAUUCCUUAUAUGAUUGAGUUCAGAUCUUGCACUAGAU